rnacentral:lncRNA from 1 species
UUUAACAUGUCGCUGUCACUCUUACAUUUCCAAUAAGAGCAGAAUUUUGAAAUAGACAGUUUAGUAUUUCGAUUAGAGACUGUCUACCUAGUGAGCAAUUGCGCUCAAGGUGAACCUUGGUUUCCCCACCAACCACGAUUUGCUCUUGAUCAUUUUGAUUCACACGCUAGAAUCUCUAUCAUAAUAUUCCUGUAAUAAAUAAUGCUCAUAGAUGUAAGUGUACCCUCAAGAUCCAAUACAAUGUUACAAUAUGAUGAUAUCAAUGUAAUUCCUUUCCGUAUCCUUCAUUGCUACUAAAAUAGUGCUGUGCAUAUGUCACUAUCAUGCUGCCAAGACUUUUUGCCUAUGUAUUGCUUGCUCAACUACCCAAUACAAGAGUAUAACUUGACCUUUUCAUUGUCCUCUUGUCACAGGGCAUAUAUUUCCCAAGCCUCCAUUCAUGUAGACGUUUGAAUACGAAGCAGCGCUGUACAGAAGAAGCGCCAUGAGUUUGUGCAGCAGUAUUUUCCUUCCUGGGCAACUUUUACCAUGUAACAAAUGCAACAAGUCUGAAUGGUUGUAUACUUAUAACUAGGAGGAUACAUCUUGACAGCAAACUUUGUACAUAUUGGAAGAAUGCUCUGUUGUAAUUGUUACGCGAGGCUUAUGAUUGUUUGAGAAAUGAAGAUCCUCGGUAUCUUCCCAAAAUCACAGGAAAUUUCGUAUUUCCGGAUAAGUUUGUAUCUGUUUGAGAGGAAUGUCCGCAAAUUGGAUGGUUUCAUCGGUGGGAAUGCUUGUAAUGCCAUGUAAACUUGAAAUCUGUAUGAUGUUGACCAUAAAUGAAUUUCUCAUUUUCAAGAAUGAGAACGAAAAAAGGGUGACAGAUUUUUGUCGAAGAGUAGACGGCAAUAUGCAUAC